AUCAUUACUCACCUAAGUUCUCCGUUGUGAACCUAGGAAACGCCUUAUUUCCAGAAUAUCAGAGUAAGUUCUACAGAUGGCUUUCCAGGGGGGAAUUUGGGUUGUAUGAGUGCUGUUAUCCAGCCCACCUCAGUUGGUGUCCAUUAGUCGGUGGUAGUCGGCACCACAUGGUGUGUUGCACAGGGAUGCAAACUCGAUGCCUUGCCCUAAUGGCACAUCACUAAUGUCAGGCCACAGCUGGAGCAACUGUCUCUGGGAUUGUAUGAUACACUCCUUGAGAAUGACUCUUGAGGAGCUUCUUGGAAGAAUUUGAUGUCCAAUCUUAAUAUUCUGAGAGUUCCAUGCUAGUAUUGUGACUAAUUAUACCUUAUACCACUUGCGUGCCACUUGAUAGUUUUCACAGGACUUUAUGUGUUUUUGUCUUCUUUGAUCUUCACAGCCAUCCUGGGAGGCCAGCCAUUCAGAUAUUAUUUCCCUGUUUUACUCACGAGAAAGUCAAGGCUUGAAUGGGUUAUGACUUGCCUAAAGUUACAAAGUGAGGAAGUGCCAGUCCCAACACCAGAUGGCUCCCACAGGCCCCAUCCAGAGCAUUUCUAUUUGAUUGUAUGCUGCCUAACUCCCCACCGAGGACAUAGUAACAGAUGGCCCU
rnacentral:lncRNA from 1 species